rnacentral:lncRNA from 1 species
UGUGAUUGAGGAAUGCAAGCUGUUUUACUUUGCUGGCCAGGAGACCACUUCGGUCUUACUCGUGUGGACUAUGGUUUUAUUAGCAAGGUAUCCCGAUUGGCAAAGUAAAGCAAGAGAGGAGGUUUUGCAUGUUUUGGGUGACAGUAAACCUGAUGCUGAUGGCCUUAAUCGUCUCAAAGUUGUAAGUCCCUAUCAUGUCUCUUGAAGGCCCGAUCUCUGAGGUCGACAACUCAAAAACUUGGUUCUUUGUUUCGCUAAUUCUACAGUUAACAAUGAUAUUGUACGAGGUUCUAAGGCUGUACCCACCAGUGAUUGAGCUAGGACGUUCCGUUCCAAAAGAAAUAAAACUGGGAAAUUUGUUGUUACCAGCAGGAACAGACGUUUCGGUUCCAAUCCUGCAGAUCCACCAUGACAAAGAUCUUUGGGGCGACACCGCACGGGAAUUUAAGCCACAGCGGUUCACGGAAGGGGUUUCCUAAGCAACAAAGAGUCAAGUCACGUUUCUGCCAUUCGGAUGGGGUCCUAGGAUCUGCAUUGGCCAAAACUUUGCCAUGAUGGAAGCUAAAAUGGCGAUGGCUAUGAUUCUCCAACGCUUCUGGUUUGAGCUUUCCCCUUCCUAUGCUUACUCUCCUUACAACAUGGCAACUCUUCGUCCACAGCAUGGUGCACAGAUAAUUUUACAUAAACUUGGCUGUAAUUAAAUUGUUAUGUAAGCAAAUCUUUGUGAAAAUAUAGUGUUUUAGUGUAUCGUCAAAGUCUGUCUGUAAUGGUACAAUUCCGAUGCAUGAAUAGUAAAUUUUGAGAUGUUUGGUGAAGUCCGAAAUAAUAUGCAGAAAUUGAGUGUCUAUGGUGGACAUAGUUGAGGGACUAAUGUGGUAAUUAUCAAUCAAAUAAUUCGGUACAAAGACUUAUAUGGAAAUUAAAGCAGGGGGAGUUGAAAAUGACUACUCUGCUUUGGGCAUCAAUUUAGAAAGAUUUAAAGUACAAAUGUGUUAUUAGUUAAGGGAUUUGUUUUAAAGAGGGAAUGACAAUUAAACCUCAUGGUUGAUUUGUGGAAGGGAACCAAUGAUGGGAUGAUUACUCUUAGUGGUGAAAAAAAAACUAUUAAGGUGGUUAUUAUAGUUGUUAUCACCAGCCUAAAAUUUGAAUAGGUUCAGGUCGGAUUAUAUUGAGCAUGCAAGAUUAGUUCACGGACCAAACUUGUAUGAUAAUAGGUAUUCACAAAAAGAUAUCUAUAGUUUCCAACAAAGUCACAUGUGAGAUCGUGCAUUAGAACCGCAUAAACAUGUUUUAUGUUUAGAAUAUGAUAUGUGUCUAUGUGUAUAGAAUCUACCUAAUAUAUCAUAUUAAUGAAUAGUAUCAAUUGCGGAGCCAAAAAAUUAUUUGUGAGGGGUCAGAAUUAAAUUGUAUAUUUUUACAAAAAUAAAAAUUAAAUUUCACUAUUUUAAUAGUUUAUUUAUUUUUAAUUUUUAAAUGAUUAAAUUAAAUUUUAUAAAUUUUUAGGAUCAAAGUAUAAUUUUAUCAUUACUAAUUUAAAAUUUUAUAAAUUAUAAAAAGUUUAUAUGAAAAGUUUUCUAUUUUAGGGUGGCCAAAGCCCCUGCCAACUUCUGACUCGAUCACUUGCGGUUAGUUGGGUAAAGACUCAAGAAAAAUAGCGGUGUGUUUGGAUGGACAGUGUGUUUACUUGCGGUUAGUGUAAAAAUAGCAGUGGCGGUGAGAUUAGAUACUAUAGCAACACUGUAGCGUGAGACAAAAAGUAAGUUAAACGCACUGCACUGCACUUAAUCGUCUAUCUAAACUCACCAUAAGUGUCUAAAAUAUGAUUUAAGUGAAGAUACGUGGGGUAGGUGUCAUGGAAAUGUAAAAAAAAAAGAAUCCCACUAAUGUAUGGGAUGUGUACAAUUGAAUGCAGGAGUGAAUCAUUUGGGUAACAUUUGGACAAGAAACAUAAUGAACAAAAUGAAAGGAGAGGAAGCUAGUAAUAAAAGAUUCUUUUGGGUUAUAUAAUUUGUUUGGCAUAUAUUUUUAUAAUAUUUAAAUAUCAUUUUGGAGUUGUUGAAUUAUAAUUUCUUUUUAUGUUUUAAAACAUAGUUAUUCUAUUUUUAGAGGUCAGAGUAGAGGUGAGCAUGAGUCGGGCUACUCGGCUCGGGCCGAAGGCUUGCGCAAAAUGUGAGAGAUUUGGGUAAAAAUAUAGGCCCGAAAAAUGAGUUUAGACAAAAAAAAUAUAAGGCCCGUUGAAAAAACAGGCUAGGCCUUGGGUAAGGCAUUUUGGCCCCAGACCCGGCCCAACCCAAAUUCACUAAGGGCACGUUUGGUUCGCUGUAUUGGAAUAGAGGCGUAAUGUAAUAGAUGCGUAAUGGAAUAGAGACGUAAUAGCAAAUCAAUUGUUUGGUUGAAUGUAAUGGAAUAGAGGCGUAAUAGUAUUCUUAUAUUUGGUUGAAUGGAAUAGAGGUGUAACAGCAUAAGGAAAAAAGUUAAAAUGACUAGAAUACCCUUAGCAGAAAUUUGUUUAGAUAAAUGAUUAUUGUUAUUGUUAUUAAAUUUUAAUAAGAUUAUUAAUAUCAGUAAUAAAUAAUUUAAUCAUAUUUUAACAUAAUUAUUAUUAAAUAUAAUUUAAUAAAAAUAUAUAAUUUAAUAAAAUUCUUAAUAUUAAAUAAAAUUCUUAAUAUUAAAUAUUCUUAAUAUUAAAUUACUAAAAUCAUAAUAUAUAAUACUAUAAAAUAUAAUUUAAAUAAUUAUUAUUAAAUAUAAUUUAAUAAAAAUAUAUAAUUUAAUAAAAUUCUCAAUAUUAAAUAUAUUCUUAUAUGAAUUUACUAAAAUCAUAAUAUAUAAUACUAUAAAAUAUAAUUUAAAAUAAUUAUUAUUAAAUAUAAUUUAAUAAAAAAUAUAUAAUUUAAUCUAAAGUUUGAAUGUGUAUUUACCUAGCAAAAAUCAAUGAACUCUCGUGUAACUAUAACCUUAAUAAUAUAUGAUGUAUAAUUAAUAUUUCGUGACUAAUUAAUAGCAUAGAGAUAAAUACAGUAAUGACGAAUUUAUAGUAUACGAUUAAAAUGCUAAUAAUUUAUAGUAUACAAUUAAAAUAUUAUAAAUAAAAUAAUAGUAAAUGAUAUAUAAGAUAAAUUAACAUAUAAAUAAUUCAGAUAUGUAAAGAAUAUGGCUGAAUAUGGUUGCUCCAAUAAUAAAGGAUAUAUAAUAUAUCAUGGUGUUGUUUUGUUUAGAUAGUUCGGUAACUUAGGAGGGUAUGUAUGAAGAACACAAGUUGAUGCAGAUAGAAAGACGACAAUAUUACAUGAUUACAAUAUGAUAUAGUAUAUAUAUAUAAUUUAUGGAUUCCUUGCAAUCACGUGGCUUCUCUAGCCAUUUUAUUUAGCAUAUCCAGUGAUAUUAAGAUCCAGAAUUAUAAUACAACUAAAAUCUGUGCACACUUAUGGAUGAUCCAACAAAGCCUCAGUUGGCUUUAGGUUCCAAAUCUUGCAACCCACAAACCAUAUUUGCUGGCACUGCAACAUCAAUCAUCUUAGGAUAUGCCAAGUUAAGAUCUGUUGCACCAACAAAAACAGAGGAGAAAUUAGAAGGCGAUCCGAAAAAACCCAAGGAUGCUUUUUCUUUUCUUUUUUUUUAUAAUCUUUAUAGACUAGUUAUAUUGAGCAUCAACUUACUUUCCAUGAUGUUUUUGAAAGUCUCUUACAAAAAGGGUAUUCAACAAAUAAUAUAAUCAGACAUAUUGAUAGGACAAAUUGAAACUAGUAUUCUAUGAUCAUAAUAAAGAGUAAUCUUUAAUCAAAUGCGUGAAGGUAUUGAGAUGUCAUGCUUUUUCAUGAUUUCCUGUUUUACCAUGGCGAUGUUCAUUGGAAUAGUCCCAUCCAAGAGAAUCAAACCAAUGCUCAGCAAGAAAUGUUCAAUGCAUAUGUAAUUUUAAUUACAGAAGUUAUAUGCAGCUUAUAUGAGUUCAAGAUCAUAAAAGACUUCAUGGACAAAAGGAAACCCUUUCUUAUCACUGAAAUGAAAAUAGGCACUCUUAAUUUUCUAUUGUCAAAAGUAGCAAGCCAUUUUCCAAAGAAAAGGGAAGAUGGAUGGUUCCAGAAAGAAUACCUCAUCCUUUGUCAAGUGUGGAUUAUAUAGCAUCUCCUCUCCCACAGUGGUUACCNNNNNNNNNNNNNNNNNNNNNNNNNNNNNNNNNNNNNNNNNNNNNNNNNNNNNNNNNNNNNNNNNNNNNNNNNNNNNNNNNNNNNNNNNNNNNNNNNNNNAAAUCGAGCAAUCAUUUAUAUAUGUAAGAAAUGAUAGGAAUAAAGUUUUAUAUCUUACUGAGAAUCCUUUGUAGUCAUGAGUUGGAUAUAGCAAUGUCUCUUUCGGUAAUGUAAAAAUCUGGAUCCAUGAAACAAAUAAGUCCAUAAAUUUUAUUCAAAUUUUGACAAUUACAAUAAAAUUUUGAGAACUCAAAGAAUGUGACCAUAAAAAGUCCCCUGUCCUUACCUGUGAAUGCACUGACUUGUAGAGUUGCUGUGAACUUCCACCCUGCAAAAUGCAUUAAUCAGUGCUAGUCAAUGGCUACUGAAUGUGGGAGCAUUAGAGAAAAUUAUCUUAAAAACUUAAGUAUAACAAAAUUAGACAAUGACAUCCAGAUGGAAAGAAAUUGCCAGCAUAUAAGACCAGCAUUUAUGUACUCACGACUGAAAAUCCUUUGCAAAAAGUAUAGCCCUGAUAGUUCAAACUUUUACUUCAAGGAUGAUUUAAUUACUGAUUAGUUUACCAUGAGGCUUGUGAAUGACAAACACUUUAUGUGCAACCACAGUAACAAGGUAAGCACCAAUAAGUAGAAAACUAGACGAAUAGGUAACCAAGAGUUAGAGCUAAAACAGACAAACAGAGCUACUAUCCAAUGAGCUAAAACAUACAAACAGAGGUAUAUUUUAACAAUGAAAAUAAUCGAUUGCCUUAAACACCAUAUAGUGUUCCAAUCAAUCAAAUUAUAGCAGGCAUUAAAACCUUUCCCUUUCGUUAAUUCACAACUAUUAGCUUCAUUAAUCAAAUCCUAUGUACAGUUGAUCGAUUGAAAGUGUAACAUUUCAAAGACGAAAUUUAAACACAAAACUGGUUAACAUUGAAAUUACAUGUAAAUAUAACCUAAAAAACCAAAAAAUUAAUCAUAUUUUCAGAUUUCAGGCCGAAAUGGAAUGAAAUGAAAGGUAAAUCCAUUUUUUCCUCAAAAAAACAAAAAUAAAGAAAUAAUAUUUCAAGAACAGAUCAUUAAAUUCAUGGUAUAUAUAAAGAAAUUUAAUUGAAAUCAAAGGAAUAGAAGAAGGGAAAAGCGUACUUGGAACCAUUGCUGCUACUCUCUGUUACUCUGUUACCUCAUACGAUUCGUUAAAGGGUUGUUAGGGUUUGUUAAAGGGUUGGUCAGGAUAGAAGCAUGAAAAGGAGGGAGAAGGUUGGAAGGAAAUGGGAAGAAAAAUGAAAAAAAGAAGAAGAUGCUGCAACGGCUUGGAGGGUAAAAGAGGACCGAUUAGGUAAUCCUUUCUUUUCGAAGGGAUUACAAAUCGGCGCUGCAUAAGGGAAAAUGGGGAAUCGGUGCGCUGCGUAAUAGGCCCGUAUUAAGGCAAUACAGCCAACCAAACAGGGUAAUCAGUGGGGCCACGGAUUAGGGGUGUAUUGGCUAAUCCAAUACACCCAACCAAACAUGCUCUAAAGGACAAAAAAAUUUGAUUUUUUAAAUAUUAUUUUCUCUCUAUUUUGCUAUCAUUUUACUAUUAUGUUGCUACUAUGUUAUUGUUAUUUUUGGAUAUUGUAUAAAACUUAUUUUAUUGUUAAUUUUGUUAUUAUUUUAAAGACAUUUGUUAAUUUUGUUAUUAUUUUAGAGACAUUUGCUUGUUAAGUUGCAUCUAUCUUAGUGUUAUUUAAGUAUACAUAUUUUUUAAAAUUUAUUUUCAAUUUAUUGGGAAAUAUUUAUUUUGAUGUUUUUAGUAUUUUGGGUGUAUUAUAUAUAUUAAAAUUAUAUAAAAAUUAAUAUGGCCGAGCCGAGUCAGGUCCAGAUUUUAGCAUUUUUAUUCAGGUCGGGCUUGAGCAAAAUUUUAAGCCCAUUUUUUGGGCCAAACCAGGCCUGGGCUUAGCAAAUGGGCCUAAAUUUUUAGUCAAGCCCGACCUAAACCCGAUCCGGCCCAUGCUCACCUCUAGAUCAGAGCUGCCCUCGCUUUGCAUUUCUUUGAGAUUCAGUCUUAUCUACUGUUGAUUGCCCACUCAAUUGAGGGUUGAGUAGAAAGAUUUGGUGAAGCAAGCUAAGCUAUCAAUCAAGGUUGGAGAAAGCUUAGGAGGUCACAAUGCAUAAUUAUUUAAAUGUAAUUCUAAUAUUUAAAUAAAAUUUAUUAAUAUAGUAUUAACAAGCCCUAAAUGUAAUGAUUAUAUACUAUUACAUUUUUAAGAAGAGAAAACAUGUUUGAACCUUAAAAACAUCAUUAUUAAAAAUGAUAAUUAAAAAUUUUAAAAUAUAAAAAAUAUAAUUAAAAAUUAAUUUUAAACCCGAGCUGGAUAAAAUUCUAAUUUUAGAUAACGAUACUAAUAAGAAAUCAAUAUUAAAAUGAAAAUGAAAAGUAAUUUAAUAUAAUUUUUGAGUCUUGGGCAAAGGCACUCAAUGAAUGCUUGGAAAGAAAUAAUGCAACUUGGUGAUAGCUUUUGUUGGAGUAAUAUGCUCUUAUUAUAGUUUUAUGUUUUUAUCUUGCAAAAACAACAUAUUGGAGUUUUCGGCAUGAUUUUUUCUUAAUACUUUACAUGAAAAAUAAUAAUGGGACUUAAAAAUCUAUCAAAAGCUUCACCAUAAUAAUAAUAAUAAUAAUAAUAAUAAUAAUAAUAAUAAUAAUAAUAAUAAAUUGCUACAAUAUUACAACACAAAGUUACAAUAAGAGCUUAUAACUCAACAAAGGCUAUCAAUAAAUAAUCUCAGGCAAGCUAAAGAGAAAUGUUGAGAAUACCACCCGAAUAGUGACUGACUUUAAAAGUUGAAAACCCAAAGCUAUAGUAUCUCAAACUAAAUCAAACCAUAAACAUUAAAAUUUUCAAGUCUACUAGCUACUGUAAAAAAUACAGCUCCAACAGACACCAAAUGAGUCUUUGAUCGAAGAAAGUACAAAAACUAGUCUGGGUAAACCAAGCUGCCAAACUUACUUAUCUUAUCUUUAAUUUUGCAGUGAAAUUAAAAACUAAGUUUUUGUUUAUUUCACUUGGAACAACUUUCAAAAAAUUAUUUUUGAAAAAUGGAUUGGUUUUUCGAAAUAAAUGAUAUUUUAUUGUGUUAAAAUUUUAUUCGUUGUUGGAAAACUUUUUUUAAAUCAUUUUCUUAAAGUUAUUUUUAGUGAAACAAACAUAACAUAAAUAUAUUUGUUACAAAAAAUUAUACUAGUAAUUUCUUUUGACAAUUAAAAUUUAUUUUAUGGUAAGACAAUAUUUUAUAAUAAUUAAUAUCAUAUAUAUACGUAAUAAAAAUCAUGUUUAAUUAAAAUUUAAUUAAAAUUAGAUGUAUUAAUAAAGCUACUCCUCCACAACCCGCAUCCGCAACAGCACCAGCACCAGCACCAGCACCAGCAUCAGCACCAUGGGACAACUAUUGGGUUUCCUCCACCUGCCUCUAUCGCUCCUCCUCAGUAUUACCCCUAAGCCUACCAGACCGUGCCGGGUAUUCUACAAAUAUGAAAAAACCUUCUUCUCUUUUUAUUAGCUUAUCGAAAUGAAGGAUUUUGAGAUUUGGGCUUUUGUUAGAUGGAUGGUUAAUGAUAUUUUUUAGAUGAAAGAUACAAGUUUUUUAAUGUUUUAGAAGAAAAGGUGUUUAAAUAUUAGGAGUUUUUUAGCAGAGAAAGAAGAUAAAUAAAUGCAUAGAGAUACAUUAGCAAUAUUAUUUGGAUUUGGUUGUCUAAUGUAAUGAAGAAUUUUUUAAGGGUGACCUGAGUAGGUGUGGCAAGAUUCAAAGUUUUUUCUAUUAUAGCAGAUAUAUAUAUAUUAAUGGUUUAAGAAGACUAGAAGUCGGUUUCAAAGGAAGAUGAGAAAUAAAAGCAUUUAUAUAUAUGAUAUGUCAUUAAUUCAUAAACCAAAUAUAUAAAGUAUGUAAAAGUGUCAGGGGUUAAUCAUGGUGUUUUGACAAUCCGGUAACCUUCAACUUGAAGAAAACCUUAGGUUUCAAAAAUUUAUGUGAAGAGUUAGAAUGGUAUGCUUCAUGGAUCUGAAUAACUAGAACAGUGUAAGAGUGGUAUAUUGUGUCAAGUUUGGUUUCUUGUAUAUAAUUGUAUCGAAAACAAUGUUACAUGAGUUAAAAUGAAUGUUCAUCCAAUUUAACAAAGCCUGCAUUAUGUUGAUCAAAAUUUUUAAUUCAUGUUGAGGUUUCUUCCGUGAUAUCUUUGAUGUCAAGGUUAUGAUGUUGCUGAAGGGACACCUGUAAGAGAUAAGCUACGGUGCUGUGGCAUUGGAUUCGGAUGGUUCUUGUAAGUGUACAUAGUUUUCUUUGUUUUUAAAGAGUUCUUUACAUAUGAAGUAAAACAAGUAGCGACUUGAUGGAUAUGUCAUUAAGCUUUAACUUAAGCAAAUCAUUUUCCUUCAUCUCUAAUUGCCAUUUCUUUAAAAGAAAAAGAGGAAGUUUUGUAGUUUACAGUUUGGACAAAUGGAAGUUAAUAUAAUGCACUAUUUGGAUGGACUAUGGAGAUAUCCAAUCAUAUUGGAUGAGUUAUAAGAAACCUGUGAGUUCAUAUUGGGUUUACUUUAUAUCAUAAUUAGAUUGUUGAGCUGGCUGUCAGACUUAGAUGGUAUUUCACGUUGCUACAUGUUAAACUAUACCACUUUCACAUUCAUACGUGAAAUGGCUGGGAUUUAGUGCCAUUCUACUUAGCAGCCUCGUGUAAUACACAGGUGAAAUGUUUAUGUCUUCAUGUCACCUUAAAGUUCCCAUUUCCAUGACGGUAUUGUUAAGUAAAGACUGGUACAUACCCCAAAAUACGGAAAUUGUUUUGGAUGUAUACUAUACUUUACCAUGCAUGAUUUUUUACAAGUUUGCAUGGUAUUUUAUCAUUAUAUUGGUCUUUAUUUUCUAUACUCGCAGCUUCCAUUAAUAUAUUUUUAUGAAUUUUAUCAUUAUGCUGGUUUGAAGGUUCAUCAUUGGUUUCUUCAUUGGGGGCCAUCCCUGGUAUAUUGGAUUCUUUGUUUUACUUUGUGCAAGGAUAGACGACAGAGAGAAAGCAGGAUAUAUUGCAUGCACAAUUGCCGUGAGUAUCUUUUCUAUCAUUAUUUUUUUCUUUUCCAAUUUUAUGAAAGCCAUCCUUCCUGCCUUGUAUUGAUCAUCAAUUUAACCAUUGUAUAUAUGUAUCUUAUGUAUUUGUACCAUGCUUUAUCUUCAAUGCAAAUAUAAGUUAAACUACAAAGAUUGGAUUGUUAAAAAAAGUUUAAAAUGUUAAAAAAAUUGAAAAUUUUGAUUUUGUAAGAAUGAUAGAAAACCAAGGCCAGUGCUUGCAUAUGUUAUCUACUACAUGCACAAUCGGGUCGAUGUCUGUAUAUGUUUCAUGUUUAGAAAUCGUGUUCAAUUGGGUUACGAUAUGUACAAUUGAAGUGUCAAUUUAUAAUUUCCUUAUCAAGAUUACACAUUUUUUUGUUAAUAUUCGGAAUCACUCAAUGGUUAUAAACCCUGAUUGGAUACUGUCCACAAAGUCUAGUUGGAACAUCCCUUGUAUUCUUUGUCCUUUCUAAGAACUUUCCUUUCCAUCAUUCUCGCUUCUGUUUUUUUUUUCUUCCCUCUACUUUAAGUCAUUAUCUAACGUAGAUAUCCCUUGUAUUCUUUGUCCUUUCUAUGGCAAUCGAGUCAAUUGAUGGCAAGCCAAAAAAACAAAAAGAACAGCUAUCCUGUCUUACUCGAUUGCCAUCCCUCCUGUUAAACACCAUUAAGAAAAGGAAAAUUUUAGUUAAGCUUUAAAACAGCCAUGUUUUAACGAUGUUGGUGAUGGUGCUUGUGCAGGCCCUUCUUGCUACAAUUACAAUUAUUCUUAGUGCAACAAUUAAAGCUGGUGGGUGAUAAAGCACACCUCUUUUGACUGAGAGAUGUAUAGGUUCCCAAAUAAUAUGUAUAUGCUCCCCCCCCCCUCCCUUUAUUUUAUUUUAUUUCCAGUAAGUUAUUGUUUAUGAUAAUUUGCAACAAAUGUUUUUGUCAUUAUUUUGUUGGUGAAUGAUAAUAAGAUUAAGCUUUACUUUCUUAAGCUCCAAUUCCUUGGACGUUGGUGAUUUUUUUAUUAUAGUUGAGUCCUUGUAUGGUAUUAAUAUAAUUUAUGUCGCUUAAAAUUUAUAACUAAAAAUAUAAAAUUUAAAUUUUACUUCAAUUUAUUUGUAUUUAUAAAUGGUUAAUUCAAACUUAUUUUUUUCCUCAUUAUAUUUUAUAUUUAAAUUAACAUUUAAACUAUUUUUCAUUAGCAAUGUUGUUAAGAAUUAUAUUUUUUAGCACCAACAUCAAACUUACUAAAAUUAAAUUUUUAACUAUUUUAAAAAAAAUAUUUUUAGCUAUUUAUCAUCAUAGAGAAAAAAAGGUGACGUCACCACGCCUCAUGCUUCGACACCACAAACUAGACUCUCAUCACCUGUAUUUAUCAUCGAUUCAAAUUCCAGAACUACCUAAAAAUAUAUCUUCAAACUUCCUCUGGUUAAGUUCAUUGAUAGUCAACUUACUAUUAUUUCUAAAAAAAAAAACAAAUAAAUUGGUUAAUAGUAAUCUCAAUGAUUCAAUUUUAUUCUUACCAAUAUCUGUCCUUUAGAAAGGGGCUUAUAAAAGGGAUAGAGGUGAGUAAACUUGAGCUUCAGCUUUCCACAAACACCUUAAUUUGAAGACACAGUUCUCUCAUACUAAAAAAGACAUGGAAGUUUACCUUGUAAUUAGAGAUUUGGUUUCAUUGCUUGUUGUUGGGUUAUUAAUGAUAUGGGGAUGCAGAACUUUAAACUGGGUAUGGCUGGCCCCAAAAAGGCUCGAAAGCUGCUUGAGACAACAGGGUUUUGCAGGGAAUCCUUACAGGUUCCUUUCUGGUGACAUAAAAGAGCUCUCAACUAUGAGCAGACAAACAAGAGCCAAACCUAUGCCUCUUAGUGAUGAUAUUGGGCCUUAUGUUGUUCCUUUUCAACAUCAAACUGCUAACCAGUAUGGUAUGCUUUUUUUGUUUAAUCUGCAAUUUAUGAUAAUUCUUUGUUAUUUAUGUAUGGAAUUUAUUGGGAGGAAAUGCAGGAAAGAAUUCAUUUACGUGGUUUGGUCCAAGACCAAGGGUGAACAUUACGGACCCUGAAAAAAUAAGAGAAAUACUUAACAAAUUUAAUGACUUCCAGAAGAUACAUACCAAUCCACUGCUUAAUUUGCUUGUAAGCGGCCUUGCUAACCUCGACGGAGACCGAUGGAGCAAGCGUAGAAAAAUCAUAAACCCUGCAUUUCAUCAAGAUAAGUUGAAGGUAUAGAAUAGUGAUGGGUAAUCAGACUUUACAGAAAACAUCAUACUUAAACCUAUGCUUUCCUGAUUUAGAAAUAAUUGGAUGCAGAAUAUGUUGCCAGCAUUUUAUCAAAGUUGUAGUGACAUGUUAAGCAAAUGGGAGAAGAUGGUGUGUACAAAAGGAUACAGUGAGUUAGAUGUGUGGCCUUAUCUCGUAGAUUUGACAAGAGAUGUGAUUUCCCGAUCUGCUUUUGGAAGCAGCUUCGAAGAAGGCAAACGAAUUUUCCAAUUACUAGAGGACCAACUCGUUCACAUAAUCAAAUUAAUACAAACUGUUUACAUUCCAGGAUGGAGGUAACCCUCAACUUAAUUUACUUGAAAAAGGUUGCAAAUGUUGGAAUUGGCUAAAUUCGUGUUUGUUUUCUUGAAGGUUUUCGCCAACGAAGACAAACAGGGAGAUGAAGAUGAAACACAGGGACAUAAAAGAGUUGCUUAUGGAAAUGAUAAAGAGAAGGGAGAAGGCAAUUAAAGCAGGGGAAGAGAGCAAUGAGGACUUGUUGGACAUACUUGUGGAAUCCAAUAUCAGAGAAAUGGAAGCAAAGAAUAUGGGGAUGAGCAUUGAGGAUGUGAUUGAGGAAUGCAAGCUGUUUUACUUAGCUGGCCAAGAGACCACUUCGGUCUUACUGGUGUGGACUAUGGUUUUAUUAGCAAGGUAUCCCGAUUGGCAAAGUAAAGCAAGAGAGGAGGUUUUGCAUGUUUUGGGUGACAGUAAACCUGACGCUGAUGGCCUUAAUCGUCUCAAAGUUGUAAGUCCCUAGCAUGUCUUUUGAAGGUCCGAUCAAUGAGGUCGACAACUCAAAAACUUUGUUUCUUUUUUCGCUAAUUCUACAGGUAACAAUGAUAUUGUACGAGGUUCUAAGGCUGUACCCACCGGUGGUUGAGCUAGAACGUUCCGUUCCAAAAGAAAUAAAACUGGGGAAUUUGUUGUUACCAGUAGGAACAGAAGUUUCGGUUCCGAUCCUGCUGAUCCACCAUGACAAAGAUCUUUGGGGCGAUGACGCACGGGAAUUUAAGCCAGAGCGGUUCGCGGAAGGGGUUUCCAAAGCAACAAAGAGUCAAGUCACGUUUCUGCCAUUCGGAUGGGGUCCUAGGAUCUGUAUUGGCCAAAAUUUUGCUAUGAUGGAAGCCAAAAUGGCGAUGGCUAUGAUUCUCCAACGCUUCUGGUUCGAGCUUUCCCCUUCCUAUGCUCACUCUCCUUACGGCAGGGCAACUCUUCGUCCACAGCAUGGUGCACAGAUAAUUUUACAUAAACUUGGCUGUAAUUGAAUUGUUAUGUAAACAAAUCUUUGUGAAAACAUAGCGUUUUAGUUUAUCGUCAAAGUCCGGUGUCUGUAAUGGUACAAAUUCGAUGCAUGAAUAGUAAAGUUUGAGAUGUUUGGUGAAGUCCGAAAUAAUAUGCAGAAAUUGAGUGUGGUAAUUAUCAAUCAAAUAAUUCGGUACAAAGACUUAUAUGGAAAUUAAAGCAGGGGGAGUUGAAAAUGACUACUCUGCUUUGGGCAUCAAUUUAGAAAGAUUUAAAGUACAAAUGUGUUAUUAGUUAAGGGAUUUGUUUUAAAGAGGGAAUGACAAUUAAACCUCAUGGUUGAUUUGUGGAAGGGAACCGAUGAUGGGAUGAUUAUUCUUAGUGGUAAAAAAAACUAUUGUGGAGGUUAUUAUACUUGUUAUCAUCGGCUUAAAAUUCGAAUGGGUUCAAGUCGGAUUAUAUCGAGCUUGUAAGAUGAGUUCACGGAUCAAGUUUGCAUAAUAAAAAUACUUAAAUGAAAAAAUUUCUAUUUUAGAGGGACCAGAGCCCCUACCAACUCCCGGCUCAGCUACUAAACAAUACCCAUAUCAUAUAAAUAAAUACCACAUAAAAAAAACUCAAAGAAAAACACUGACAAAUGAUAAAUAGAUAGAUGUUGGAUAAGUGUCCAAAAUAUGAUUUAAGUGAAGAUACAUGGGGUAGGUGUCACGGAAAUGUGAAUACAAGAAUACUACUAAUGGGAUGUGUACAGUUGAAUGUAGGGAGCAAAAAGAGGAGUGAAUCAUUUUGGUAACAUUGGGACAAGAAACAUAAUGAACAAAAUGGAAGCAGAGGAAGCUAGUAAAAGAAAUUUUUUGGGUCAUAUAAUUUGUUUGGCAUAUAUUUUUAUAAUUUUUAAAUAUCAUUUUGGACUUGAAUUAUAAUUUUUUUAUAUAUUAUCUUAAAAUUGUAUAAAUUUUAAGGAGUUAAAACAAAAUUAUUCUAUUUUUAGAUGGUUAAAGUAGAGAUGAUAAUGGGUUGAGCUAUUCGGCCCAGCCUGACGAUCCACCCGAAAAAUAGGAAGGUUUGGGUAAAAAUAUAGGCUCGAAAUAUGAAUUUGAGCAAAAAAAGAGGCCCGUUUAGAAAAUAGGCCGGGCCUCAGGUAAAACCUUUUGGGCCCAGACCUGACCUAAAUUAUAUAUUAAAUAUAUAUAUUUUUAUUUUUAAUCAAAUAUACUUUUGUUUUAUUAUUAAUUUGGUUAUUAUUUUAGUUCUAAUUUGUUUCAAUUUUAAUAUAACUACUUUUUAUUAUAUUUUCAAUUUGUGUAUUGUUUUAAGAAUUAUUUUAGUCUCAUUAUUUAUUUAUUUUUUAUUUUAAUAUUUGUUUUAAAAUUUUUUAUUUAUUGAAAUAAGCUAAAAAAAUUAAUAUGGGUUGGACCAGACCGGGCUCGGGCCUAGUAAUUUUCUUUUGGGCCGGACUUAAACAAAUUUUUAAGCCCAUAUUUUGAAUUGGGUCCUACACUAGAAAAUGGACCUAAAAUUUUGUAUUACCUUUAGGUCAGAGCUAUCCUCGUUUUGCAUUUCUUUGAGAUUCAGCCUUAUUUACUUUUGAUUGCCACUCAAUAGAGGGUUGAGUAGAAAUAUUUGGUGAAGCAAGCUAAGCUAUCAAUCAAGGUGUGCAUAAUUAUUUAAAUGUAAUUCUAAUAUUAAAAUAAAAUUUUUAUUAAUAUAGUAUCAACAAGCAUUAAAUGUAAUCAUCAUAUACUAUUAAAUUUUCAAUAAGAGAAAACAUGCUUGAACUUUAAAAACGAUGUUACUAAAAACAUUAUCACAAAUCUUGAAAUAUAAAAAAUAUUUUUUAAUAUAAUAAAAAAUAAUUUUAAACCCGAGAUGAAUAAAAUUCUAAUUUUAAUUAAUGAUACCAACAACAAAUCAAUAUUUAAAUUAAAAUUUAUCUUAAUUUAAUAUAAUAAAAUUGGACCUGAAUAUUGAAUUUUUGAGUCUUGGGCAAAGUAGAGGUGCUCAUGGGCCGGGCUGGGUCGGGUUUGGGAAAAAUUUCGGCCCGCAUCCUAGGCUCGGGCUCGGCCCGACCCAAAUAUGGGCCUAAAAUUUUGUCUAGGCCUAGCCCGACCCGGCCCGACUUAUUUUUUUUAAUAAACACCAACAAUUUAUUUUGAAAAUAAAAAAAUAAAAAAAGUAUUUUAAAAAUAUUUUAAAAUUUUUAAAAAAUAUAUAUAUUUAUUAUAUAUUCGGGCCGGGCCAGGCCCGAGCCAAAAAAGUGGCGCCCAAGGCCCGGCCUGUUUUCUAAACGGGACUCAUUUUUUACCCAAACCCAUAUUUCGGGCCUAUAUUUCUACCCGAAUCUCUCAUAUUUCGGGCGAACCGUCGGGCCAGACCGGGCCGCCCGGCCAUGAACACCUCUAGGACAAAGUCACUCAAUGAAUGCAUGGAAAGAAAUAAUGCAACUUGGUGAUAGCUUUUGUUGGAGUUAUAUGCUUUUUUUUUACGUAGUGGAACUUUCGGUGGAUUUUCAAGUUUCAUGAACUUUAUACCCUAUGCUUUACGUGAAAAAAAAUCAUUGGACUUAAAAGUCUGCCAAAAGUUUCACUAUAAUAAAUAAAUAAAUAACAUUGCUACAAGACUUCAACAUAAAGUUACAAUAAGAGCUUAUAACUCAACAAAGGCUAUCAAUAAAUAAUCUCAAACAAAUUAAAGAGAAAUGUUGAGAGUACCACUCGAAUAGUGAUUAACUUUAAAAAUUGAAAACCCAAAGUUAUAAUAUCCCAAACGAAAUCAAACCAUAAACAUUAAAUUUUUCGAGUCUACUAGAUACUGCAAAAAAUUCAGCUCCAACAGACACCAAAUGAACCUAUGAUCGAAGAAAAUACGAAAAUUAGUCUAGCUAAAUCAAGCUGCCAAACUUACUUUUUAUCUUAUCUUUAAUUUGCUGUGAAAUUCAAAACUAAGGUUUUGUACUUAGAACAACUUUCAAAAAGUUAAUUUUGAAAAAUGGAUUGAAUUUUCAAAAUAGAUGAUAUUUUAUUGUGUUAAAAUUUUAUUCGUUGUUUGAAAAAAAAUUUAAAUCAUUUUCUUAGAAUUAUUUUUAGUGAAACAAACAUAUCAUAAAUAUAUUUGUUAUAAAAUAUUUAUAUUAAUAUUUUCUUUUAACAAUUAAAAUAUAUUUUGUGAUAAGGUAUAUUUUAUAAUAAUUAAUAUCAUAUAUACUUAAUAAUAAAUCAUGUCUAAUUAAAAUUUAAUUUCAAUUAAAUAUAUUAAUAAAGCUACAUAUAAUCAUAUUUUAUAUAAUAAAAAUAUUAAUAUAAAUAUUUUUUUAAUAAUAUAUUAAAGAAUAUUUAAAAUUUAAAUUUAUUAUUACUAAGAUUAAUUAUUAAAAUAAAAAUGUAAUAUUAAAUAAUUUAUCCAAUGAUAAGUUAUAUUAAUAAUUUAUUAUAUUAUUAAAUAUAAAUAAUUAAAUAUGUAUGUUUAAUAAUAUUAUGUUAUAAUAUUUAUUAUUAAUAUUUUAAUAUUUUUAAACAACCAUGUUUUAAAGAUGGUGGUGAUGCUGAUGGUGCAGGCCCCCUUGUUACAAUUACAAUAUUUUUAAGUGGGAUGCAUGUAAUAUAUUGUUAGGGUUCUAGAGUGUGUCAUCUUUAAAAGGGUUAAAUUAUAUAUUUAUAUAAUAUGAUUAUUGUUUAUAAACAUAAUAUUGUAGAUAAACUUUUAUGCAUGUCAAUAUGUAUCCUACUCUGGGGUUAAUAUGUAUUUUUAGAUAUGGAUUCACCUAUAUAAUAGUAUGAAUCCAUCAUGCGGUCUCAUGAAAUAUACAAACACAUAUCGUGCGAACACAAAGUACGAACAAUAAAAAGUACAAAUCAAGACCAAUUGAGUAAUUGAAUAACAGAUAGGUAAUAAUGACUAUCCCCUCUUGUUUGAAUUUAUUUUAUUUCCAGUGAGUUAUCGUUUAUGAUAAAUUUACAACAAAUGUUUUUAUCAUUAUUUUGUUGGUAAAUGAUAAUAAGAUUAAACUUUACUUUCUUAAGCUCCUUCAAUUCUUUGGACGUUAGCAAGUAAACUUGAGCUUCAGCAUUCCACAAACACCUUAAUUUGAAGACACAGUUCUCCCAUACUAAAAACAACAUGGACGUUUACCUUGUAAUUAAUGAUACGGGGAUGGAGAGCUUUAAACUGGGUAUGGCUGGCCCCAAAGAGGCUCGAAACGUGCUUGAGACUAGAGGUCCAGGCAAAUUUUUAGGCCCAUUUUUUAGGCUUGGACUGGGCCCGACUCGAAAUAUGAGCUUAAAAAUUUGUCUAAGUUCGGUCCAAAAGAAAAUUGUUAAGCCUAAGCCUGGCCCAUAUUAAAUUUUACAACACCAAAAAACUAUAUAUUUAAUAUAUAUAUUUGAUUAAAAAGUAUAUUUAAUUAAAAAUAAAAAUAUAUAUUUAAUAUAUAAUUCGGGCCGGGCCGAACUCGGGCCAAAAAAGUUUUACUCGGGGCUGGUCCGUUUUCUAAACAGACCUCGUUUCUUUGUCAAAAUCCAUAUUUUAGGCUUAUAUUUUUACCCGAAACUUCCUAUUUUUCGGGUGAGCCGUCAGGCCGGACUGGGUAGCCCAACCAAUGAUCACCUCUACUUGAGACAACAGGGUUUUGCAGGGAAUUCUUACAGGUUCGUUUCUGGCGACAUAAAAGAGCUCUUCACUAUAAGCAUACAAACAAGAGCCAAACCUAUGCCUCUUAGUGAUGAUAUUGGGCCUUAUGUUGUUCCUUUUCAACAUCAAACCGUCAACCAGUAUGGUAUGUUUUUUAAUUUAAUCUACAAUUUAUGAUAAUUCUUUGCUAUUUAUGUAUGGAAUUUAUUGGGAGGAAAUGCUGGGAAGAAUUCAUUUACGUGGAUUGGUCCAAGAUCAAGGGUGAACAUUACGGACCCUGAAAAAUAAGAGAAAUACUUAACAAAUUUAAUGAGAUCCAGAAGGUACGUACCAAUCCACUGCUUAAUUUGCUUGUAAGCGGCCUUGUUAACCUCGAAGGAGACCGAUGGAGCAAGCAUAGAAAAAUCAUAACCCUUCAUUUCAUCAAGAUAAGUUGAAGGUAUAGAAUAGUGAUGGGUACUUAAGACUUAAUUUACAGAAAACAUCAUACUUAAAUCUAUGCUUUUCUGAUUUAGAAAUGAUUGGAUGCAGAAUAUGUUGCCAGCAUUUUAUCAAAGUUGUUGUGACAUGUUAAGCAAAUGGGAGAAGAUGGUGUGUACAGAAGGAUACAGUGAGUUAGAUGUGUGGCCUUAUCUUGUAGAUUUGACAAGAGAUGUGAUUUCCCGAUCUGCUUUUGGAAGCAGCUUCGAAGAAGGCAGACGAAUUUUCCAAUUACUAGAGGACCAACUCGUUCUCACAAUCAAAUUAAUACAAACUGUUUACAUUCCAGGAUGGAGGUAACCCUCAACUUAAUUUACUUGAAAAAGGUUGCAAAUGUUGGAAUUCGCUAAAUUCGUGUUUGUUUUCUUGAAGGUUUUUGCCAACAAAGACAAACAGGGAGAUGAAGAUGAAACACAGACAUAAAAGAGUCGCUUAGGGAAAUGAUAAAGAGAAGGGAGAAGGCAAUUAAAGCAGGGGAAGAGAGCAAUGAGGACUUGUUGGACAUACUUGUGGAAUCCAAUAUCAGAGAAAUGGAAGCAAAGAAUAUGGGGAUGAGCAUUGAGGAUGUGAUUGAGGAAUGCAAGCUGUUUUACUUUGCUGACCAAAAGACCACUUCGGUCUUGCUGGUGUGGACUAUGGUUUUAUUAGCAAGGUAUCCCGAUUGGCAAAGUAAAGCAAGAGAGGAGGUUUUGCAUGUUUUGGGUGACAGUAAACCUGAUGCUGAUGGCCUUAAUCGUCUCAAAGUUGUAAGUCCCUAGCAUGUCUCUUGAAGGCCCGAUCUCUGAGGUCGACAACUCAAAAACUUGGUUUCUUUGUUUCGCUAAUUCUACAGUUAACAAUGAUAUUGUACGAGGUUCUAAGGCUGUACCCACCAGUGAUUGAGCUAGGACGUUCCGUUCCAAAAGAAAUAAAACUGGGAAAUUUGUUGUUACCAGCAGGAACAGACGUUUCGGUUCCAAUCCUGCAGAUCCACCAUGACAAAGAUCUUUGAGGCGACGACGCACGGGAAUUUAAGCCACAGCGGUUCACGGAAGGGGUUUCCUAAGCAACAAAGAGUCAAGUCACGUUUCUGCCAUUCGGAUGGGGUCCUAGGAUCUGCAUUGGCCAAAACUUUGCCAUGAUGGGAACCAAAAUGACGAUGGCUAUGAUUCUCCAACGCUUCUGGUUCGAGCUUUCCUCUUCCUAUGCUUACUCUCCUUACAACAUGGCAACUCUUCGUCCACAGCAUGGUGCACAGAUAAUUUUACAAAAACUUGGCUGUAAUUGAAUUGUUAUGUAAACAAAUCUUUGUGAAAAUAUAGUGUUUUAGUGUAUCGUCAAAGUCUGCCUGUAAUGGUACAAUUCCGAUGCAUGAAUAGUAAAUCUUGAGAUGUUUGGUGAAGUCCGAAAUAAUAUGCAGAAAUUGAGUGUCUUGAAUGGAUGUAGUAUUUAAUGGUGGACAUAGUUGAGGGACUAAUGUGGUAAUUAUCAAACAAAUAAUUGCAUAUGGUACAAAGACUUGUAUGGAAAUUAGAGCAGGGCGAGUUGAAAAUUACUACUUUGCUUCGGGCAUCAAUUUAGAAAGAUUUAAAGUACAAAUGUAUUAUUAGUUUAAGGGAUUUGUUUUAAAGAAGGAAUGACAAUUAAACCUCAUGGUUGAUGUGUGGAAGGGAACCAAUGAUGGGAUGAUUACUCCUAGUGGUAAAAAAAAAAACUAUUAAGGUGGUUAUUAUAGUUGUUAUCACCGGCCCAAAAUUAGAAUAGGUUCAGGUCGGAUUAUAUUGAGCUUGUAGAUGAGUUUGCAUGAUAAUAGGUGUUCACAGAAAGAUAUCUAUAGUUUCCUACAAAGUCACAUGUGAGAUCGUGCAUUGGGACCGCAUAAAAAUGUUUUAUGUUUAGAAUAUGAUACGUGUCUAUGUGUAUGGAAUCUACCUAAUAUAUCAUAUUAAUUAAUAGUAUCAAUUGCGGAGCCAAAAAAUUAUUUCUGAGGGGUCAGAAUUAAAUUGUAUAUUUUUACAAAAAUAAAAAUUAAAUUUCACUAUUUUAAUAGUUUAUUUCUUUUUAAUUUUUAAAUGAUUAAAUUAAAUUUUUAUAAAUUUUUGGGAUCAAAGUACAAUUUUAUCAUUUCUAAUUUAAAAUUUUAUAAAAUAUAAAAAGUUUAUAUGAAAAGUUUUCUAUUUUAGAGUGGCCAAAGCCCCUGCCAACUUCCGACUCGAUCACUAAACAAUAUAAAUAAAUAAAUACCACCAUCUAAAAGACUCAAGAAAAACACUCAACGAUAAAUAGAUAGAUGUUGGGUAAAGAUACGUUUGGAUGGGCGGUGCGUUUACUUGCGGUUAGUAUAAAAAUAGCGGUGGCGGUUAGAUUAGAUACUAUAGCAACACUGUAGCGUAAGACAAAAAAUAAGCUAAACGCACUGCACUGCACUUAAUCGCCCAUCCAAACUCACCCUAAGUGUCCAAAAUAUGAUUUAAGUGAAGAUACGUAGGGUAGGUGUCAUGGAAAUGUAAAAGACAAGAAUCCCACUAAUGUAUGGGAUGUGUACAGCUGAAUGUAGGGAGCAAAGAGGAGUGAAUCAUUUUGGUAACAUUUGGACAAGAAACAUAAUGAACAAAAUGAAAGGAGAGGAAGCUAGUAAAAGAUUUUUUUGGGUUAUAUAAUUUGUUUGGCAUAUAUUUUUAUAAUUUUUAAAUAUCAUUUUGGAGUUGAAUUAUAAUUUCUUUUUAUGUUUUAAAACAUAAUUAUUCUAUCUUCAAAGGGUUAGAGUAGAGGUGAGCAUGGGUCGGGCUACUCGGCCCGAAAUGUGAGAGAUUUGGGCAAAAAUAUAGGCUCAAAAAAUGGACUUGGACAAAAAAAUAUAAGGCCCGUUGAAAAAUGGGCCGGGCAUUGGGUAAGGCAUUUUUGGCCCCGGGCCCGGCCCAAUCCUAAUUCACUAAAGGACAAAAAAAAUCUGAUUUUUAAAUAUUAUUUUCUCCCUAUUUUGCUACCAUUUUACUAUUAUGUUGCUACUAUUUUGUUGUUAUUUUUUGGAUAUUGUAUAAAACUUAUUUUAUUGUUAAUUUUGUUAUUAUUUUAAAGACAUUUGUUAAUUUUGUUAUUAUUUUAGAGACAUUUGCUUGUUAAGUUGCAUCUAUCUUAGUGUUAUUUAAGUAUACAUAUUUUUUAAAAUUUAUUUUCAAUUUAUUGGGAAAUAUUUAUUUUGAUGUUUUUAGUAUUUUGGAUGUAUUAUAUAUAUUAAAAUUAUAUAAAAAUUAAUAUGGCCGAGCCGAGUCAGGCCCAGAUUUUAGCAUUUUUAUUCAAGUCGGGCUUGAGCAAAAUUUUAAGCCCAUUUUUUGGGCCAAACCAGGCCUGGGCUUAGCAAAUGGGCCUAAAUUUUUAGUCAAGCCCGACCUAAACCCGAUCCGGCCCAUACUCACCUCUAGAUCAGAGCUGCCCUCGCUUUUCAUUUCUUUGAGAUUCAGUCUUAUCUACUGUUGAUUGCCCACUCAAUUGAGGGUUGAGUAGAAAGAUUUGGUGAAGCAAGCUAAGCUAUCAAUCAAGGUUGGAGAAAGCUUAGGAGGUCACAAUGCAUAAUUAUUUAAAUGUAAUUCUAAUAUUUAAAUAAAAUUUAUUAAUAUAGUAUUAACAAGCCCUAAAUGUAAUGAUUAUAUACUAUUACAUUUUUAAGAAGAGAAAACAUGUUUGAACCUUAAAAACAUCAUUAUUAAAAAUGAUAAUUAAAAAUUUUAAAAUAUAAAAAAUAUAAUUAAAAAUUAAUUUUAAACCCGAGCUGGAUAAAAUUCUAAUUUUAGAUAACGAUACUAAUAAGAAAUCAAUAUUAAAAUGAAAAUGAAAAGUAAUUUAAUAUAAUUUUUGAGUCUUGGGCAAAGGCACUCAAUGAAUGCUUGGAAAGAAAUAAUGCAACUUGGUGAUAGCUUUUGUUGGAGUAAUAUGCUCUUAUUAUAGUUUUAUGUUUUUAUCUUGCAAAAACAACAUAUUGGAGUUUUCGGCAUGAUUUUUUCUUAAUACUUUACAUGAAAAAUAAUAAUGGGACUUAAAAAUCUAUCAAAAGCUUCACCAUAAUAAUAAUAAUAAUAAUAAUAAUAAUAAUAAUAAUAAUAAUAAUAAUAAAUUGCUACAAUAUUACAACACGUUACAAUAAGAGCUUAUAACUCAACAAAGGCUAUCAAUAAAUAAUCUCAGGCAAGCUAAAGAGAAAUGUUGAGAAUACCACCCGAAUAGUGACUGACUUUAAAAGUUGAAAACCCGAAGCUAUAGUAUCUCAAACGAAAUCAAACCAUAAACAUUAAAAUUUUCAAGUCUACUAGCUACUGUAAAAAAUGCAGCUCCAACAGACACCAAAUGAGUCUUUGAUCGAAGAAAGUACAAAAACUAGUCUGGGUAAACCAAGCUGCCAAACUUACUUAUCUUAUCUUUAAUUUUGCAGUGAAAUUAAAAACUAAGUUUUUGUUUAUUUCACUUGGAACAACUUUCAAAAAAUUAUUUUUGAAAAAUGGAUUGGUUUUUCGAAAUAGAUGAUAUUUUAUUGUGUUAAAAUUUUAUUCGUUGUUGGAAAACUUUUUUUAAAUCAUUUUCUUAAAGUUAUUUUUAGUGAAACAAACAUAACAUAAAUAUAUUUGUUACAAAAAAAUUAUAUUAGUAUUUUCUUUUGACAAUUAAAAUUUAUUUUAUGAUAAGACAAUAUUUUGUAAUAAUUAAUAUCAUAUAUAUACUUAUUAAAAAAAUCUUGUUUAAUUAAAAUUUAAUUAAAAUUAAAUAUAUUAAUAAAGCUACAUAUAAUCAUAUUUUUUAUAAUUAAAAUAUUAAUAUAAAUAUUUUUCAAUAAUAUAUUAAAAUAUUAAAAUUUAAAUUAUUAUUACUUAAAUUAAUUAUUAAAAUAAAAAUUUAAGAUUAAAUAAUUUAUUCAAUGAUAAGUUUUAUUAAUAAUUUAUUGUAUUAUUAAAUAUAAUUAAUUAAAUAUGCAUAUUUAAUAAUAUUACGUUAUAAUAUUUUAAUAUUCUUAAACAGCCAUGUUUUUAAGAUGCUGGUGAUGGUGAUGGUGCGGGCCUCUCUUGUUACAAUUACUAUAAUUUUUUGUGCAAUAAUUGAAGUUGUUGGGUGGUCAAGCAAACCUCUUUUGACUGAGAUGCAUAUAAUAUACCCGCAUGUCCCCGCCUCCUAAAAUUUAAAUUUGCUAUUUGAAUCUUUAAAAUUUUUAAAAAUUUUAAAUUCAUAAAAGUAAAAUUAUACUUUGACCCUCUAAAAUUAUAAAAAUUUAAUUUAAUCUUUUAAAAAUUAUAAAUAUAUAGACUAUAAAAAAUUAAAAUUUCAUUGGGCCCCUAAUAUAUUGUUCAGGCUUCACCCUUGAUACUGAUGUUGACUAUUUUAGAGUAUGUGUCUUCUUUAAUAGGGUUAAAUUAUAUAUUUAUAUAAUAUAGUUAUUGUUUAUGGACGUGACAUCGUAACUAGGUUCUUAUGCAUGUCAACAUAUAUCCUAUUUUAAGGUUAACACGUAUUUUUAAAUAUGAAUUCACCUAUAUAAUGGUAUGAACCAUCAUGCAGUCUCAUAAAAUAUGCGAAUAUAUGUCGUGCGAACACAAAGUACAAACCACACAGAAUACGAAUUAAGACCCAAUUGAAUAAUCGGAUACGAAUCAGUAAUAAUGAAUUUCAUAACAGCCACCAACCCCUCUUUUGUUUUAAUUUAUUUUAUUUCCAGUAAGUUAUUGUUUGUGAUAAUUCACAACAAAUGCUUUUGUCAUUAUUUUGUUGGUAAAUAAUAAUAAGAUUAAACUUUACUUUCUUAAGCUCCUUCAAUUCUUUGGAAGUUGGUGGUUUUUUAUUCUAAUCUUAUUUUUUUUAUUAAUUUCUUUUUUUAUAAUAAAUGUGUUUAUAGAUCAGGUUGGAUUAUAAUUGAAUCAUUGUCUGGUAUUAACAUAAUUUAUAUCGAUUAAAAUUUAUUCGACUGGAAAUAUAAAUUUAAAAUUUUACUUCAAUUUAUCUUAAUUUAUAAAUUGUGAAUUUAAAUUUAUUUAUUUUCUCUCAUUAUAUUCAGUUUUUCGGAUCAUAUUUGGCCCAGAACAAAAACUAGAACAAAAAAACAAAUAUAUAUGUUUUCCAAAAAUUAAAUUGUUAACUUCAAAAAAAUAUAUUUUUAGCUAUUUAUCAUCAUAGAGAAAAACAAAUAAGGUCACCUCGCCUUAUGCUUCAACACCUCAACCUAGAUUCUCAUCACCUGUAUUUAUCAUCGAUUCAGAUUUUUAUUUUUACUAUAUUCUAGAUCUACCUAUAAAUAUAUCUUCAAACUUCCUCUGGUUAAGUUCAUUCAUAGAUAGGUGAGUAAACUUGAGCUUCAGCUUCAACAAACACCUUAGUUUGAAGACACAAUUCUCUCAUACUAAAAAUAUGGAAGUUUACCAUGUAAUUAGAGAUUUGGUCUCAUUGCUUGUUGUUGGUUUAUUAAUGAUAUGGGGAUGGAGAGCUUUAAACUGGGUAUGGUUGGCCCCAAAGAGGCUCGAAAGGUGCUUGAGACAACAGGGUUUUGCAGGGAAUCCUUACAGGUUCCUUUCUGGUGACAUAAAAGAGCUCUCAACUAUGAGCAGACAAACAAGAGCCAAACCUAUGCCUCUUAGUGAUGAUAUUGGGCCUUAUGUUGCUCCUUUUCUUCAUCAAACUGUCAACCAGUAUGGUAUGUUUAAUUAUUAUUUAAUCUUCAAUUUAUGAUAAUUCUUUGUUAUUUAUGAAUGGAAUUUAUUGGGAGGAAAUGCAGGAAAGAAUUCAUUUACGUGGAUUGGUCCAAGACAAAGGGUGAACAUUAUGGACCCUGAAAAAAUAAGAGAAAUAUUUACCAAAUUUAAUGACUUCCAGAAGGUGCGUACCAAUCCACUGCUUACUUUGCUUGUAAGCGGCCUUGUUAACCUCGAAGGAGACCGAUGGAGCAAACAUAGAAAAAUCAUAAACCCUUCAUUUCAUCAAGAUAAGUUGAAGGUAUAGAAUAGUGAUGGGUACUUAAGACUUAAUUUACAGAAAACAUGAUACUUAAAUCUAUGCUUUUCUGAUUUAGAAAUGAUUGGAUGCAGAAUAUGUUGCCAGCAUUUUAUCAAAGUUGUUGUGACAUGUUAAGCAAAUGGGAGAAGAUGGUGUGUACAGAAGGAUACAGUGAGUUAGAUGUGUGGCCUUAUCUUGUAGAUUUGACAAGAGAUGUGAUUUCCCGAUCUGCUUUUGGAAGCAGCUUCGAAGAAGGCAGACGAAUUUUCCAAUUACUAGAUGACCAACUCGUUCUCAGAAUCAAAUUACUACAAACUGUUUACAUUCCAGGAUGGAGGUAACCCUCAAUUUACUUGAAAAAGGUUGCAAAUGUUGGAAUUGGCUAAAUUCGUGUUUGUUUCCUUAAAGGUUUUUGCCCACAAAGACAAACAGGGAGGUGAAGAUGAAACACAAAGACAUAAAAGAGUCGCUCAGGGAAAUGAUAAAAAGAAGAGAGCAGGCAAUUAAAGCAGGGGAAGAGAGCAAUGAGGACUUGUUGGACAUACUUGUGGAAUCCAAUAUCAGAGAAAUGGAAGCAAAGAAAAAGGGGAUGAGCAUUGAGGAUGUGAUUGAGGAAUGCAAGCUGUUUUACUUUGCUGGCCAGGAGACCACUUCGGUCUUGCUGGUGUGGACUAUGGUUUUAUUAGCAAGGUAUCCCGAUUGGCAAAGUAAAGCAAGAGAGGAGGUUUUGCAUGUUUUGGGUGACAGUAAACCUGAUGCUGAUGGCCUUAAUCGCCUCAAAGUUGUAAGUCCCUAGCAUGUCUUUUGAAGGUCCGAUCAAUAAGGUCGACAACUCAAAAAUUUGGUUUCUUUUUUCGCUAAUUCUACAGUUAACAAUGAUAUUGUACGAGGUUCUAAGGCUGUACCCAUCAGCGACUGAGCUAGGACGUUCCGUUCCAAAAGAAAUAAAACUGGGAAAUUUGUUGUUACCAGCAGGAACAGAAAUUUCGGUUCCGAUCCUGCUGAUCCACCAUGACAAAGAUCUUUGGGGCGAUGACGCACGGGAAUUUAAGCCAGAGCGGUUCGCGGAAGGGGUUUCCAAAGCAACAAAGAGUCAAGUCACGUUUCUGCCAUUCGGAUGGGGUCCUAGGAUCUGCAUUGCCCAGAAUUUUGCUAUGAUGGAAGCCAAAAUGGCGGUGGCCAUGAUUCUCCAACGCUUCUGGUUCGAGCUUUCCCCUUCCUAUGCUCACUCUCCUUGCAGCAUGGUAACGCUUCGUCCACAGCAUGGUGCACAGAUUAUUUUACAUAAACUUGGCUCUAAUUGAGUAGUUAUGUAAACAAAUCAUUGUGAAAAUAGUGUUUUAACGUAUCGUAAAAACUCCGGUGUCUGUAAUGGAACAUUUCCGAUGCAUGGAUAGUAAAUUUUGUGAUGUUUGGUGAAGUCCGAAAUAAUAUGCAGAACUUGAGUGUCCUGAAUGGAUGUAGUAUUUAAUGGUGGACAUAGUUGAGGGACUAAUGUGGGAAUUAUCAAACAAAGAAUUGCAUAUGGUACAAAGACUUGUAUGGAAAUUAGAGCAGGGGGAGUAGAAAAUGACUACUUCUACGGGCAUCAAUUGAGAAAGAUUUCCGGUGCAAAUGUUAGCAAAUUUUUGAGCUUCAGCCUUAAACAUUAGCAAGAUUGCAAUACCGGGAUUAUCUAGUGUUGGUUGCCCACUCAAUUGAGGGUUAAGUUGAAGGAUUUGUUGAAGCAAGCUAAGCUAUCAAUCAAGGUUGGAGAAAGCUUAGGAGGUCACAAUACAUCAUUAUUGCAUAAUUAUUUAAAUGAAAUUUAAUAUUUAAAUAAAAAAUAUUAAUAUAGUACCAACAAUAUUCCAUUUCUUUUAACCAAGUGUUUCUAGAUUAUGAAAUUCAUUAAUGAUUUGUAAAAUAUAUUGAUGCGAUCCCGGCCGCAUCAUGUUUCGAUACAACUCGACGACCUCAGAAUUGACCUAAACUCUAGGGGCCCAAGUGCAAAAUGAAGCUUAAUUUCAGCUCAAUGAGCUCAAUUCUAGCUUCUUCAAGCUCGUCUAGUUCAACCCAAGCUCAUUUAGCUUAACUUCAACCCAUUUUUAAUUUGUUGGAAUAAGUAUUUAGUUGCUGGAAUAAAUUACUCAUCUUAGUUAAUUGAGUUCAUCUUAGUUAAUUAAGUUGUUGGAAUAUGUUACUCAUCUUAGUUAAUUUAGUUGCUAGAAUAAUUUAUUGUUGCAUGUGUUUUUAAGUUUAUUAAAUUCAGUUAAGUGUUAAAUGUGUUUAUUUACAGUUUAUUAACUAAGCUUGUUAAGUCUAAUAUGUGUUAAAAUGUGUUUAAUGUGUUUGUUUGUAGGUGACUAAUCAGUUGGAAACAGUUAUGUACAAGGGCUGUUACAAAGUGUUAAAUGCGACUAUUCAUUUGGAAUCGGUUACAUACAAGGGGCUAUUACAUUAUUUAAAGGAGAGCAUUAUACAUCAUUUAAAGGAGAAUUUAAAGCUUUUCCUAAACUUUUUGGCUGCUCAAGAAUGAAAUCUAAGCAUUCAAGCUUAUUAAAUCAACUGAAUUAGAACAUUAAAUGAUCUUAUUGAUAGUUGCUGUUAUUUAGGCCUAGAAUUUCAAGAGUUUGUGCUUAGUGACUAAGUUAAUUUCAGCUCAUUAUUAGCUCAUUAAGCUGAACAAAAGUGACUAUUCGGCUAGGCCUCAUUUAGCACUAUAAAUACUUGUAAUCAGCUCAUUGUAAAAAAAACUUUUUGCUGAAUUUAUGCUAAAUUUGAAACUUGUGAGAUUUCCAAUUCUCGUUGUUCUUUCGAGAUUGAAUUGACUUAUCAAGUUUUCUUGUGGCAUCAUUCUUUCUUUUGUUUAAACCGAACUUAUCACCUUUUGGUGUGGCGUUCAUAUACAUUUGGUUCCUAUCACUUUUGAUAGUGGGUAAAGGUCCUUGCUGUUUUCUUUAAACCGUAAAUCACCUAAGAGCUAUUUUGAGACUCGGGUCAACAAUCUAAUAUUGUUGGUUCAUUCUCGGUCUUAGCCAAAUUAUCCAUUAUUUACUUAACCAUUUUACCUACUACCAUUGUUUGAAGCCAUUUAUCCUAUUUUGUUUCAUUUAACUGAAACGAACUUAUCCUUACUCAAUUCACGAUCGGGUAAUCUAAACGACUCGAAUCAUUCCGAAACGAGUUCGUAUCAUAUAUCCUCCAUUCUUAUUGAGUGGGUGUAAUGAAAAUUCUCCUAUUUCUAAUUGUGAUAAAGUAGAGACUCUCUUUAGAAAAAAGGCAGCAACAUUUUUCAAUUAUUAAUUGAACACCUUGGUGAAUUUUCGUUUUUUUUCUUUUUUUCUUUUUACGGUUCAAUUUUCGUUUGGGUAUUGUAAUUUCAGGUUAAUCAUUGUUUGGUUGAUAUUCUCAACUUCAAUCUUUAAUUUACUUGAGAUUAUUAGUUGAUUGUUUUUGUUGGAAUCAUAUGAUUUUAUUGUGUAUUUAUGUUUUAAUCUUUUAGAAAGAAGUUUUUAUGUGGACUUUCAAGCUUCGUAAUUUUUAUUAUUUGCUUUACGUAAAAAAAACUCGUGGGAUACAAAAAUUCACAAAAAAACUUGCUAUAAGAUUACAACACAAAACCAUAAGCUUAUAACUCAACAAAAGCUAUCAAUAAAUAAUCUCAAGCUAGCUAAAGAGAAAUGUAGAGAAUAUCACCCAAACAGUAACUUGCUUUAAAAGUUAAAAAUCCAAAGUUAUAGUACCCCAAACGAAAAUCGAAUAUUAAACAUUAAAGAUCUUCGAUUCUACUAGCUAUUGUAAAAAAAAAAAUUCCAACGGACACCAAAUAGACCUUUGAUCGAAGAAAAUACGAAAACUAGUCUGGUUAAAACUACAUGCCAAACUCACUUUUUCUCAUUUCUUUAACUUGCGGUGAAAUUCAAAACUAAUGUUAUAUUUUUUCACUGAAAUUAACUUUAAAAAAAUUAUCUGAAAAAAAUGAUUGAUUUUUCAAAAAAGAUUGAUAUUUUUUUAUGUUUGGAUGAUUUUUUGUAAAAUAUAUUUCGUUGUUUGACAAAUUUUUUUGAAAUAAUUUUCUUAGAGUUGUUUUUAGUAAAACAAACAUAAGAUAGAUAUAUUUGUUACAAAAGAUUAUAGUAACAUUUUCUUUUGACAAUUUAAAUUUAUUUUAUAACAAGAUGAUAUUUUAUAAUAAUUAAUAUUAUAUAUAAACUUAAUAAUAAACAAUAUCUAAUUAAAACUUAAUUUAUAUUAAAUAUAUUAAUAAAGCUAAGUAUAAUUUAAACAAAUACUCAUGUUUUAUAUCAUUAAAAUAUUAAUAUAAAUAUUUUUCAAUAAUAUAUUAAGAAUAUUAUUUAAAAUUUAAAAUUAUUAUUUUUAAAAUUAAUUAUUAAAAUAAAAAUGUAAUAUUAAAUAAUUUAUCAAAAUGAUAAGUCAUAUUAAUAAUUUAUUAGAUUAUUAAAUAUAAAUAAUUAAAUAUGUAUAUUUAAUAAUAUUGAACAUUAUAAUAUUUUUUAUUAAUAUUUUAAUAUUAUUAAUAUAAUAAUAUUGGACUUGAUUCAAGUUAAUUUUUAUAUAAAAAAAAUAAAAUUACAUGUAAAUGAACUCAUUUUCAAAAAAAUAACUUGUACUUUUAAAAAAGGUAAACUAAUUUACAGAAAAACAAACUUAUUUUCUGUUAAUCUAUAAUUUUUUUUGUUAAUCAAAUUAUUUUCAUGAAAUAAAUAUAAAAAAAUACAAAAAAAAAACAGUUUCCAUAUUAACACUCAAUACUAAACUGUCAUUUUCCUCCGCUUCCCUAAUUUGUAUGUAGCAGUGAACGUUUGAUCGAAUCGAGUAAAAAAAAUUGAGUUGACGAGUCAUAUUUUAUCAUCUUAACUUGAUUUGAAAUUUUUUUAAAUCAAGUCAAAGACUAAGAGCACAUAAAUUUGAAACCUUAUCUAUUUGAAUUUGUUUUAAAAAAAAAAAGAAAAAAAAUACUUUAGCAUGAUAAACUUGAAUUGUGAAUUAACUUAUUUAGGUCCCAAAAUUAUUAUUUUAUAAUUUUUUUAAAAAAUAUAAAUUUUAAAAUUUUUAUAAAUAUUUUGAAUUGAAUUUUUGUUGAAAGAGAGACCGAUCUAUCAUUUUCAAAAUUAAAAAAAAGACCAAACUAUAUUUACAGUAAUUUAUUAUUCGAAUUAUUUAAAUUAUAUAAUUUAACUCAAUUUAAAAUCGAAACUCGAAUAACUCAAUUUUUAACCCGAAAUUUAUUUUUUAAAUUUUUUAAAUCAAAUCGAAUUUUGUUCGCCCUACAUCAAUAACUUUGUAUCCAUAUCAAGCUUUUUUUUAAGCUAUAUAUAUUAUUUUAGAGAAUACAUGGUCACCACGGUUCAAUGAUUGAACACCACUCCACUCUCCACUUUUUUUAGAUAAGUCUUUGGCCUGUGUGGUUUAUCCUCUUAAUUUUUUGAGGAUAUCAUUUACUAAAUAAUUUAUUUUUUACAUAAAUUUUAAUAUAUAUUAAUAAUAAAUUAAUUCAAUUGGUAAUAUUUAACUAUUCUCAUAACUCAUUUUUAAUAAAGAAAAUAAUAAAAUUCGAUUAUGAUAAGGAGGUUUUAUUUUUAACAAAAAUUAUUUUUUAUAUUUCUAAGUUUAAAUCUAAAUUUAUACAAGUUAUUCUUUAUUUUAUAUCUAAUUAUUGUAAAACAUAAAUAAUAUUUUUUUUUCCUUUUCAUGCUACCAAACAAUCCAUUAAUCAUUAAUUAUAUUAAAAUCUUUGACUUAUUAAUAUUUAUGGAAAGUAAAUCGGAUGCUAAAGAAAUCUUAGUCAAACCAAAAAGAAAGAAGAGAUAGAGGUGGGCAAAGCUGAGGUUCAGCUUUCAUAAACACCUUCAUUUGAAGACACAGUUCUCAUACUCAAACCAAAAGACAUGGAAGUUUUCCUUGUAAUUAGAGAUCUGGUUUCACUGCUUGUUGUUGGGUUAUUAAUGAUAUGGGGAUGGAGGGCUUUAAACUGGGUAUGGUUGACCCCAAAGAGACUCGAAAGGUGCUUGAAACAACAGGGUUUUGCAGGAAAUCCUUAUAGGUUCCUUUCUGGAGACAUCAAAGAGAGCUUCACUAUGAGCAGACAAACAAGAGCCAAACCUAUGCCUGUUAGUGAUGAUAUUGAGGCUUAUGUUGUUCCUUUUCUUCAUCGAACUAUCAACAAUCAUGGUAUGUUCUACAUUAAUCUGCAAUUUCAUCGUGAUAUUCAGAUUUCUUUUUUUAUGUCUGAAGUUUAUUAGGGGAUAUGCAGGAAAUAAUUCAUUUAUGUGGUUUGGUCCAAGACCAAGGGUGACAAUUAUGGACCCUGAAAAAAUAAGAGAAAUAUUUACCAAAUUCAAUGACUUCCAGAAGCCUCAUUCCAAUCCACUGGUUAGAUUCCUUGUAGGUGGCCUUUCCAACCUCGAGGGAGACCAAUGGAGUAAGCAUAGAAAAAUUUUAAACCCUGCAUUUCAUCAAGAUAAGUUGAAGGUAUGUUGUAUUUGCACUUUUUUUCCUCUUUCAAUUCAAUCAUUUUGACUUACCUUAAUCAAUACCUUUAGGAGACUAAUUUUCAUUUCUAAUAUAUUUAUGUACUUCUGGUAUGGAAAUAAUUGCAGAACAUGUUGCCAGCAUUUUAUCAAAGUUGUAAUGAGAUGAUAAGCAAAUGGGAGGAGAUGGUGUCUAAAGAAGGGUACAGUGAGUUAGAUGUGUGGCCUUAUAUCGUAAAUAUGACAAGAGAUGUGAUUUCCCGAGCUGCGUUUGGGAGCAGCUACGAAGAAGGAAGAGGAAUUUUCCAACUAUUAGAGGACCUAACCUCUCUCACAAUCAAAGUUUUUCAAUCUGUUUACAUUCCAGGAUGGAGGUAAACCUGAACUUUAUCUUCGAGUUUUAAGGAAAAUGUUACAGAUGUUGAAAUUCGAAUCUCGGGUGUUUGUUUUCUUGAAGGUUUUUACCCACAAAGACUAACAGGGAGUUGAAGAUGAAACACAAAGACAUAAAAGAAUCGCUUAGGGAAAUGAUAAAGAGAAGAGAGAAGGCAAUUAAAGCAGGGGAAGAGAGCAAUGAGGACUUGUUGGACAUACUUGUGGAAUCCAAUAUCAGAGAAAUGGAAGCAAAGCAUAAGGGGAUGAGCAUUGAGGAUGUGAUUGAGGAAUGCAAGCUGUUUUACUUUGCUGGCCAAGAGACCACUUCGGUCUUACUGGUGUGGACUAUGGUUUUACUAGCAAGAUAUCCUGAUUGGCAGACUAAAGCAAGGGACGAGGUCUUGCAUGUUCUUGGUGACCGUAAACCUGAUGCUGAUGGCCUUAAUCGUCUCAAAGUUGUAAGACCCCUUCUCCUAAAUUCUCUCAUUAUUAUUGCACCGAAUAUAUAAAAUUAAUCAUUUUACUACUCGUUUUUCCAAGUUAACAACUAAAAAACUUGGUUUCUUUGUUUCGCUAAUUCUACAGGUAACAAUGAUAUUGUACGAGGUUCUAAGGCUAUACCCAGCAGUCGUUUCGCUAGCACGCUCCAUUCCAAAAGAAAUAAAACUGGGAAAUUUGUUGUUGCCAGCCGGAACAGAACUUUUGCUUCCAAUCCUGCAGAUCCACCAUGACAAAGAUCAUUGGGGUGACGACGCACAUGAAUUUAGGCCUGAG